UGGGGAAUAUUGCACAAUGGGCGCAAGCCUGAUGCAGCCAUGCCGCGUGUGUGAAGAAGGCCUCGGGUUGUAAAGCACUUUCAGCGAGGAGGAAGGUGGUGAGCUUAAUACGCUCAUCAAUUGACGUUACUCGCAGAAGAAGCACCGGCUAACUCCGUGCCAGCAGCCGCGGUAAUACGGAGGGUGCAAGCGUUAAUCGGAAUUACUGGGCGUAAAGCGCACGCAGGCGGUUUGUUAAGUCAGAUGUGAAAAUCCCCCGGGCUCAACCUGGGAACUGCAUUUGAAACUGGCAAGCUAGAGUCUCGUAGAGGGGGGUAGAAUUCCAGGUGUAGCGGUGAAAUGCGUAGAGAUCUGGAGGAAUACGGUGGCGAAGGCGGCCCCCUGGACGAAGACUGACGCUCAGGUGCGAAAGGCGUGGGGGCAGCAAAACAGGAUUAGAUA
rnacentral:rRNA from 1 species